GCCAGAGGAUUCUACAAACCUGAUUAUUAGUGUCGUGUGAGUACUAUAUAAUAGUUAAAACUUUCAACAACGGAUCUCUUGGUUCUGGCAUCGAUGAAGAACGCAGCGAAAUGCGAUAAGUAAUGUGAAUUGCAGAAUUCAGUGAAUCAUCGAAUCUUUGAACGCACAUUGCGCCCCGUGGUAUUCCGCGGGGCAUGCCCGUUCGAGCGUCAUUAUGACCAAUCCCGUUCGCGGGGUCUUGGGCACCGCCGUCUGGCGGGCCUCAAAAUCAGUGGCGGUACGGCCGGGCUCUGAGCGUAGUAAAUCUUCUCGCUACAGGGUCCCGGGCGGCACUGGCCAGCAACCCCCAAUCUUUCACAGGUUGACCUCGGGUCAGGUAGGGAUACCCGCUGAACUUAA
rnacentral:rRNA from 1 species